AGAGUUUGAUUCUGGCUCAGAUUGAGCGCUGGCGGCAUGCCUAACACAUGCAAGUCGAACGGUAACAGGACUAGCUUGCUAGUUGCUGACGAGUGGCGGACGGGUGAGUAAAGUAUAGGAACUUGCCUAAUAGUGGGGGACAACAUGUGGAAACGCAUGCUAAUACCGCAUACGCUCUACGGAGGAAAGCGGGGGAUCUUCGGACCUCGUGCUAUUAGAUAGGCCUAUAUAGGAUUAGCUAGUUGGUAAGGUAAUGGCUUACCAAGGCGACGAUCCUUAGCUGGUUUGAGAGAAUGAUCAGCCACACUGGGACUGAGACACGGCCCAGACUCCUACGGGAGGCAGCAGUGGGGAAUAUUGCACAAUGGGCGAAAGCCUGAUGCAGCAAUGCCGCGUGUGUGAAGAAGGCCUUCGGGUUGUAAAGCACUUUCAGACGUGAGGAAAAGUUAAGCUUUAAUACAGCUUAGCCCUGACGUUAACGUCAGAAGAUGCACCGGCUAACUCCGUGCCAGCAGCCGCGGUAAUACGGAGGGUGCAAGCGUUAAUCGGAAUUACUGGGCGUAAAGCGCGCGUAGGCGGUUAUUUAAGUCAGAUGUGAAAUCCCUGGGCUCAACCUAGGAACUGCAUUUGAUACUGGAUGGCUAGAGUAUGGUAGAGGUGAGUGGAAUUUCAGGUGUAGCGGUGAAAUGCGUAGAGAUCUGAAGGAACAUCAGUGGCGAAGGCGACUCACUGGGCCAUUACUGACGCUGAGGUGCGAAAGCGUGGGUAGCAAACAGGAUUAGAUACCCUGGUAGUCCACGCCCUAAACGAUGUCAACUAGGUGUAUGGAACUUUAUGUUCUGUGUAUCGAAGCUAACGCGAUAAGUUGACCGCCUGGGGAGUACGGCCGCAAGGCUAAAACUCAAAUGAAUUGACGG
rnacentral:rRNA from 1 species